rnacentral:rRNA from 1 species
AUUGAACGCUGGCGGCAUGCCUUACACAUGCAAGUCGAACGGCAGCACGGGUGCUUGCACCUGGUGGCGAGUGGCGAACGGGUGAGUAAUACAUCGGAACAUGUCCUGUAGUGGGGGAUAGCCCGGCGAAAGCCGGAUUAAUACCGCAUACGAUCUACGGAUGAAAGCGGGGGACCUUCGGGCCUCGCGCUAUAGGGUUGGCCGAUGGCUGAUUAGCUAGUUGGUGGGGUAAAGGCCUACCAAGGCGACGAUCAGUAGCUGGUCUGAGAGGACGACCAGCCACACUGGAACUGAGACACGGCCCAGACUCCUACGGGAGGCAGCAGUGGGGAAUUUUGGACAAUGGGCGAAAGCCUGAUCCAGCAAUGCCGCGUGUGUGAAGAAGGCCUUCGGGUUGUAAAGCACUUUUGUCCGGAAAGAAAUCCUUGGCCCUAAUACGGUCGGGGGAUGACGGUACCGGAAGAAUAAGCACCGGCUAACUACGUG